AUUGAACGCUGGCGGCAUGCCUAACACAUGCAAGUCGAACGGAAACUGGCCAUCAGCUGCUGACUGCAGGCGAAGAGGAGAGUAUUACAUCCGAACGUGUGCGUAACAGGGGGGCAACGAGGCCAAAAGUGUGCUAUAACACCAGACAACCUAUGCUAGAAAGACAGGGCCAUAGUUACCUCACGCGAACGAAGCAGAAGGUGGCUAUACUAGCGCUUUUGGAGGGGCAGAUGGCGCAUUAGCUAGUUGGUAGGCUAAAGGCUUACCAAGACGACGAUCAGUAGCUGGUCUGAGAGGAUGAUCAGCCACACUGGGACUGAGACACGGCCCAGACUCCUACGGGAGGCAGCAGUGGGGAAUUUUGGACAAUGGGCGAAAGCCUGAUCCAGCCAUGCCGCGUGCAGGAAGAAGGUCUUCGGAUUGUAAACUGCUUUUGUUAGGGACGAAAAGCCGUGAGUUAAUACGGUAACGUUUUGACGGUACCGAAAGAAUAAGCACCGGCUAACUACGUG
rnacentral:rRNA from 1 species